AACAAUCAGCUGUUCUUGCAAUUCCAGGUCUAUGUUUUAAAACAUAUACUCUAACAAGUAAUAGAAUGUUAAUUACAGGCCUUCUGUGCCUUUAAAAACUUAAUACAACUUUCAACAACGGAUCUCUUGGCUCUCGCAUCGAUGAAGAACGCAGCGAAAUGCGAUAAGUAAUGUGAAUUGCAGAAUUCAGUGAAUCAUCGAAUCUUUGAACGCACCUUGCGCUCCUUGGUAUUCCGAGGAGCAUGCCUGUUUGAGUGUCAUUAAUUUCUCAACUGCUCUGGCUUUUGUUAAAACAAGGCUGGAUUUGGCUUGGAUUGUGGGAGUUGCUGGCUUCUUGAAGAUCAGCUCUUCUUAAAUGUAUUAGCAGAGUUCUUGCUGAACAUCUUUGGUGUGAUAAUUAUCUACAUCAAUGAAAAAACAGCUUUCCACUUUGGCGGGAUCAGGCUCCGCUUGGGAUUAUAAUAUUUCCAAGUGUUCGAUUCAACCGCUCUGAAGCACCAGCUUAGGCACAGAUGGGUUAGCUCAUCUGAUGGUGUUGAAUACUUCUGGUUGACGAAGCGAGGUGUUCUUUGGAACGCUCACGAGAGCAAGCACUCUUAAUCAUCAUCUCUCUUUUGAUGUUGUUGUGCACUGUCAUAUUCCUGUUACCUACCCUAGCUACUAUGUGGCUUUGAUGGGUCUGGUCAAACCAUGACCUGAACAUAUCCUUAGUGGGAGGAAUCUUGCUUCUAAUGUUGUUCCUAGGAACGAACCUUUUUGA
rnacentral:rRNA from 1 species